rnacentral:rRNA from 1 species
CUUUCCUACGGGGCGCAGCAGUGAGGAAUAUUGGUCAAUGGUCGGGAGACUGAACCAGCCAAGCCGCGUGAGGGAUGAAGGUACAGAGUAUCGUAAACCUCUUUUGUCAGGGAACAAAGGCGGGGACGUGUCCCCGGAUGAGUGUACCUGAAGAAAAAGCAUCGGCUAACUCCGAGCCAGCAGCCGCGGUAAUACGGAGGAUGCGAGCGGUAUCCGGAUUUAUUGGGGUUAAAGGGUGCGCCGGAGGUCUGUUAAGUCAGCGGUCAAAGCCCGGGGCGCAAUCACGGCCCGCCGU